UGGAGCCCGGAUCAAUGGAGCACUGUUGGGGAUACAAAGGAACACACCCACACACUAAUCAGACCUUCUGAUUGGAUCACACGAGGAUGUCUUGACCACUACCACGGCUUCCAUGCAAAUUGAUGACGGAGGGGACCUACAAGAAUGUCAGCGAUCAAUCCCUGAUCCCGCCCUCCUGCUCAUCUCAUUACAGGGCAGAUAAACGGCCCUGCUGGCUCCUGCAUGGCCAUCAGAGAGGGACAAACAGGAAACUACACAGACUGCAGGAAGUCAGGUCGGGACAACCACAAGCUGAGGUUGCUCAAAUUCCAUUGGUUUUGUGUUUUGGAGUUUCUAUAUAACACUGCAAGACAGCAGAGGUUUCCUUCUUGGAGAGUAAAACAAAGACUUUGAUUCAAAUAGAGU